rnacentral:misc_RNA from 1 species
GGAAAAUCGAUUUGAUUUGAAACUUGACAGUGAGGCCAUUGCAACCUUGCAAAGUUUCAGGUCACUUGCCAUUGGUAAUUAAAGUGAUUCUUCUGAGACAGAUCAAAAUUAUUAAACUCUUAAAAUAUACUUUUAAGUUGUAUACUCCAUUGGAUUGGAAGAGCUGAUUGCUGAUUGCAAAAUGGAAGAUGAACACAGUGGAAAGUCCUGUAUGCAGAAGGCAAGUCCAGAAAAUGAUCCAGAGGGUGGUCUAGGAAAUAAAAAUCAUUAAAUGUUUUUAGGUUCAACGAAGAAUUUCAUUUUAAACAAUUUUGGGAAGAGGCAGAUUUGGAGUUUUGGAAGCAAAAAACAAAAUUGAUGACUGAGAUUAUGCUGUAAAAAGAAUGUGCAUCAUUGUGAAUGGAAGAAAGAAUGUACCAAAAGGAGAAAAAAGACAAGUUUAGUGCAAAGCCAUCAAACGCAAUAAGAAAAAUCACAAAUUGUCUGCAACUAUUGCAUUAUACUGUUGCGAAGACCAUUUUACAUGGUGUCACUUGGUCUGUUCUGCCUUCUUCAGUUGAAUAAUCAUAUAUUUCAUCAAAAUCAAGAAGAAAGAAAGUUAAAAUCAGUUGACCCAAGAACUUUGUAGAAUGUGUCAGAUGAGGUGUAGAACGUAAUGUCAAAAUUGCUGUCAAGCUUAAAAUAAAUUCAUUAAUAAGUGAAUUUUUUCAUUGGGAUAAAAUGCCAAGUUGGAAACCUUUCUCGAUGAGAUCUUCAGAUUUAUUUCUUAUGAGUAAGUCAGGUACUGUAGGGAGCUCUCAAUCAUCAAGUAAUGAUGAAUAUUUAUUUGAAGAAAGCUCUAAAAGUUCUCUUGAAAUAACAUCCAUUAAUGAUAAUAUUCAAAAAUUAGCUAAAUUAAGCAUAGAAAACUAUAAAAUUAUAUCUUUGUAUUAAAACACCUACUUAUCUCUAUAAUUGAUUUAUCUAAGAACUAUAUUAAACAGAACUAUGUUGAAACAGUCUUUGUUCCCAACUCUAUUCAAUUAUAUAGUGAAGAUGUGUUUUCCUUUGUAAAUUCCAUACAUAAUUGUUUAUUGUAUAAACUAAGUUAAGAAGAUUUGAUAAUUAUACAAAAAUGUUUGUUUUAUGAUAUAUCAAGAGCUGAAAGUGAGAAGUUGAGUUGUGCUGAAAUAUUUAAUUAUGCAGGAAAAGAUAGUGUUAAACAGGUUCUUUAAGUUCUAUUUAUAGGUAAUAUAUGUUUUCUGUAUACUCAGUCUUUUUUAUUCAUGUAAUCAAUUUGUGUAACAUUUUAUGGGAUGUCAUUUUGUUCCUUGAUAAUAGUGCUUAUUCAUUGAGUUCUGAUCAGCGAACUCAUUUUUCGGGAGUCCAACCUUAUAGAUCAAUUGGGAAAACUGUAAUUAUUUCUGAAAUUAAAGAUUUAAAUAUGA